GAUGAAGAACGUAGCGAAAUGCGAUAAGUAAUGUGAAUUGCAGAAUUCUGUGAAUCAUCGAAUCUUUGAACGCACAUUGCGCCCUCUGGUAUUCCGGGGGGCAUGCCUGUUCGAGCGUCAUUAUAACCACUCAAGCUCUCGCUUGGUAUUGGGGUUCGCGGUUUCGCGGCCCCUAAAAUCAGUGGCGGUGCCUGUCGGCUCUACGCGUAGUAAUACUUCUCGCGAUUGAGUUCGAUAGGUCUACUUGCCAGUAACCCCCAAUUUUUACAGGUUGACCUCGGAUCAGGUAGGGAUACCCGCUGAACUUAAGCAUAUCAAUAAGCGGAGGA
rnacentral:misc_RNA from 1 species